rnacentral:tRNA from 1 species
GCCGGGGUAGCUCAGCCUGGUAGAGCGCCGGGCUGUUAACCCACGGGUUCGAGGAGCCUGGCA